rnacentral:rRNA from 1 species
GCGAUGUCCGUGCCAGAAGAUAGGGGAAGACGGGGGGGGGGGGAGGUAGUGGUGAUUAGUGGGCGGAAAGGGGGCGUAGGCGGUGUGGCAAGUCGGUAGUGAAAUCUCCAGGCUCAGCUGGGAGUCUGCUGCCGAAACUGCGGUGCUUGAGUACUGGAGAGGUGAGUGGAAUUCCCGGUGUAGCGGUGAAAUGCGUAGAUAUCGGGAAGAACACCUGUGGCGAAAGCGGCUCACUGGACAGUAACUGACGCUGAGGCGCGAAAGCUAGGGGAGCAAACAGGAUUAGAUACCCGAGUAGUC